rnacentral:rRNA from 1 species
CUCGCAUUCACAAAAGCGUUCACAGUGAGUGCCUCUGGCGGGCACGGGCCCCGGGGGCACACCGCGCCCCGGGACGACCCCCCCGGCGGAACACCGGAGGAGUGGGCCCGCCAAAGCAACACUAGGUGUGGUAGACACGGGUGGGAGAUUGGGACCCGACUGGGUUCCCGCACUCGGUAAUGAUCCCUUCCGGAAAGGGGACCUGCGGAAGGAUCAUUACCGAGUGCGGGAACCCAGUCGGGUCCCAAUCUCCCACCCGUGUCUACCACACCUAGUGUUGCUUUGGCGGGCCCACUCCUCCGGUGUUCCGCCGGGGGGGUCGUCCCGGGGCGCGGUGUGCCCCCGGGGCCCGUGCCCGCCAGAGGCACUCACUGUGAACGCUUUUGUGAAUGCGAGGAUUGUCUGAGUGACGAAAUGCAAUCGUUCAAAACUUUCAACAAUGGAUCUCUUGGUUCCGGCAUCGAUGAAGAACGCAGCGAAAUGCGAUAAGUAAUGUGAAUUGCAGAAUUCCGUGAAUCAUCGAAUCUUUGAACGCACAUUGCGCCCUCUGGUAUUCCGGGGGGCAUGCCUGUCCGAGCGUCAUUGCGAACCCUCAAGCACGGCUUGUGUGUUGGGCCGCCGUCCCCUCGUUUGGAGGGGACGGGCCUGAAAGGCAGCGGCGGCGUCGCGUCCGGUCCUCGAGCGUAUGGGGCUCUGUCACGCGCUCAAGGAGGGGUCCGGCCGGGGCCAUAGCCUCUGAAGGUCAAUUCUUCCAAGGUUGACCUCGGAUCAGGUAGGAGUACCCGCUGAACUUAAGCAUAUCAAUAAGCCGGAGGAAAGAUCAUUACCGAGUGCGGGAACCCAGUCGGCGUCCAAUCUCCACCCGUGUCUACCACACCUAGAUGUUGCUUUGGCGGGUCCACUCCUCCGGUGUUCCGCCGGGGGGGGUCGUCCCGGGGCGCGGAUGAUGCCCCGGGUGCCGUGCCGCCAGAUGCACUCACUGCUCAACGCUUUAUGUGUAAUGCUGAGGAAUCUGUC